UACGGGGGGGGCAAGCGUUGUUCGGAAUUACUGGGCGUAAAGGGCUCGUAGGUGGCCAACUAAGUCAGACGUGAAAUCCCUCGGCUUAACCGGGGAACUGCGUCUGAUACUGGAUGGCUUGAGUUUGGGAGAGGGACGCGGAAUUCCAGGUGUAGCGGUGAAAUGCGUAGAUAUCUGGAGGAACACCGGUGGCGAAGGCGGCGUCCUGGACCAACACUGAUACUGAUGAGCGAAAGCCAGGGGAGCAAACGGG
rnacentral:rRNA from 1 species